UACGUAGGGUGCAAGCGUUGUCCGGAAUUAUUGGGCGUAAAGAGCUCGUAGGCGGCUUGUUGCGUCGGCUGUGAAAUCCCGGGGCUUAACUCCGGGCGUGCAGCCGAUACGGGCAGGCUAGAGUCCGGUAGGGGAGACUGGAAUUCCUGGUGUAGCGGUGAAAUGCGCAGAUAUCAGGAAGAACACCAAUGGCGAAGGCAGCUCUCUGGGACGGUACUGACGCUGAGACGCGAAAGCGUGGGGAGCGAACAGG
rnacentral:rRNA from 1 species